UGCUGGGCCCCAUGCUGCUUAGGUUGGGAAUCUCUUCAGGCUUGCUUUCUGCAAAUCGCUGGGUACAAAACAUUAUUGCAGAUGUGGAAAAAAUGUGCAGAGAACCUGUGCUUCUGAUAAUGCCUGACAUGAAGAAAUGCAUCUGAAGGUACUGCGUGAGUACCGUAAAAAUAUAUAUAUGAUAUGCUUAUAGACAACCAACCCAUCUGGGCUACACAGCAAGUAUGUGAGGAAGGUAGACCAGGAAACAAAAAACAAAGGAAUAGAACUAAUGACUGAGUAUGGAACAGUGACCAAUUUACUUUGGAAAACAUCUUCAUUGUUUCUUUAUGAAAUUCAGGUAAACAAUAUGCCUCUUCAUUGAGUUGUGCUUUUAUGUUUGACUCACAGGAGCAAGUGACCACUGAGUCUUCUUUUUCAUUUCUGCCCAAAUCAUUAAAAGCCAUAAAAAAUGGCUCAUUGACUUACUCCUUAUGAUCAGGGUUCCUUAUGAAGACUCGUUAUAGCUUUCUCUUCUUUCACUGAGGAGAAAUUUUCUAAUUCCCUGAGAGAAACCAAACCUACCUGCAUUGUCUAUUUCUACCAGCCAGUUCAUGUUCCUAAGAUGUCUAGUAGUUUUCAGUCAUGGAAACUAUUUUUUGCAAAAAAAA
rnacentral:lncRNA from 1 species